rnacentral:rRNA from 1 species
GAUCCUGGCUCAGGACGAACGCUGGCGGCGUGCCUAAUACAUGCAAGUCGAGCGGAUUUAUCCUUCGGGAUAAGUUAGCGGCGGGCGGGUGAGUAACACGUAGGCAACCUGCCUAUAAGACUGGGAUAACUAUCGGAAACGAUAGCUAAGACCGGAUAACUGAUUUUCUCGCAUGAGAAAAUUAUGAAACACGGAGCAAUCUGUGGCUUAUAGAUGGGCCUGCGGCGCAUUAGCUAGUUGGUAGGGUAACGGCCUACCAAGGCGACGAUGCGUAGCCGACCUGAGAGGGUGAACGGCCACACUGGGACUGAGACACGGCCCAGACUCCUACGGGAGGCAGCAGUAGGGAAUCUUCCGCAAUGGACGCAAGUCUGACGGAGCAACGCCGCGUGAGUGAUGAAGGUUUUCGGAUCGUAAAGCUCUGUUGCCCUAGACGAACAGCAAGAGGAGUAACUGCCUUUUGUGUGACGGUAUAGGAGAAGAAAGCCCCGGCUAACUACGUGCCAGCAGCCGCGGUAAUACGUAGGGGGCAAGCGUUGUCCGGAAUUAUUGGGCGUAAAGCGCGCGCAGGCGGUCAAUUAAGUUGGGUGUUUAAGCCCGGGGCUCAACCCCGGUUCGCAUCCAAAACUGGUCGACUUGAGUGUAGGAGAGGAAAGUGGAAUUCCACGUGUAGCGGUGAAAUGCGUAGAGAUGUGGAGGAACACCAGUGGCGAAGGCGACUUUCUGGCCUAUAACUGACGCUGAGGCGCGAAAGCGUGGGGAGCAAACAGGAUUAGAUACCCUGGUAGUCCACGCCGUAA